GGAACCUCACUUUUUUUCUGAGGUCUGCUGCAGGCGCGAAGGUAAUACUUUCCAGAUGCAUGCAUCGAAGGAGGUCUUGGUGCCACAGUUGGCGAUCGUGCUCGGCAACGAAGUAUCUCUUACUAACCUCCAGCGAGAGUGGGCCGCGUUUCCACAUGGGGUCUCCUAUACAGAAUUCCGACAACUGCUUGAGCCGCAUGUCAGGCAGCACCCCAGCCCUGGUGCAUCGACGAACGCGAGUGUUGCUCUCCUGCAUUCAUGGACCCAGCCUAGUUGUGGCAUCUCUGCCUCCUCGCCCUCCGCAUCUGUAAUCCGACCCGCUCGACCUCAGCGAGCGCACGCCACUGCUCCAGUGACACUCGCCGCCGCCGCCGCCGUCGAUGACGCCGGCACCAAUCGGGAGGCGGAACGAACCCGCCGUAUCCGCAGUCGGCAGGAGAUAGCUGGGGUCACGACACGCCCCGUCGAACCCAUGAAGCACCUCUUCAACCGUGUCAACAUCCAUAAUCAACAACGCGUCACGUGGGAGAACUUUGUGAACUACCUGGUCGCCGAGGCGAGCACUGACACGACAGGAACAAGGCUCAGCAGCAACACCUUCAAUCAGUUUACUUUCUCGCGGCGGCUGCGGAGCCAAUCCAAGCACUCACAGAAGCAGCAGAAGCCAAAGAGGAGCACCUCCGCCGAGACACUCGCAUUCAAGCGCUACUGUCGCGGCGUCCAGGAAGUCCCUAAAGCAGCUCGCACGUCUGCCGACCGAGAGGGCGACGCUGGACGCGGGCACGCUGCAGUGGGCGUUCGCGAGGACGAGGAUCUCGGCCUCAUUCGCUUCCUCGACGGCAUGCCUGAACACAAGUCGCUUUUCUUUGCGUCUACCCGAAGCUGCCCUUUCAUGCUUUAUUCGAAAAACACUCUCGAGCGUGUCUACUCGGCACCACCGAAUAUGCUCCCGGGAGUGAUCCCCUCGGCUGUUUGUUACCUGGCUGCGCACGACCUGUUCGUGUGCUACUCUCCGGACGAUCGACUGCUGCGUGGUUGGGGUGCGCUCCUCUCGAACACCCUCACGGUCACGACGAUCACCCCACUGCUGCUGGAGGGUUUAGUGCGUCGCAUCCAGGUGAUGCCGCGCGAAUCGCCCACCUACGGCGAUUACAUGGAGACGGUCUUCCUCGGCAACAGUCUUGGGCAGGUGCUGCGCGUCACGGCACCUCACGGGCGCAGCGGUGGGAUGGAGUUCACAGUGGCGCAGACUUACGCCAAUCUUCACACGCGCAAAUCCGGCGGCCUUGUCGACUUCUGCGUGUACGGGGUGCACCUGUACUCUUCCGGCUUUGACGGGAGACUCGUGGCGACAUCUCUGCUCACGGGGAAGUCAUUCGACCUUGGUAGGGUUGCAAAUGAGCAUUUGACCACGCUUGUGUACGUCGCAGGGCACGACUGGGUGGUGGCAGCGACCUCGUGUGGGCGCCAGCUGCUUUGGUGGGAGGCGCACUCGCACGGGACUCUGCCUGGCACGCUAUUCGACGUGGCUGGCCACGGCGAACACAAUGCAUGCAUCAUCGCACUCGUUUAUGUGGCGGCAGCGGACCAGGUGGUGAGCGCCGACUGCGAGGGCGUCGUGAAGGUCUGGGACGCGUCUACGCAGCGGUGUGUGCAGUCGUUCCGAAGCAGUCGCGUACCGCAGCGGCACAAGGGUUCGCUCUGCAGUGUGCUGGCGAAUGAGGCGAAGGCGUCGUCAGCCAACACGCGCACCGCGGCACACGCCGGCAGUGGACUGCUCGCCGGCAAUCUUGCAGGCCUCUUUGCCAAUCUCGGACUGCUUGCCUUGCUGCCGGCUGGUGCGGGGCAGGCGAGCCACGUCGGCGGCCCCCAGUGCCACAGCUUGAUUUACUGCGCGUCGACGCAAGAGCUGCUCUGCGGCUUCUCCAACUCCAUCGUCUGCUGGGGGCUGCACAGUCGCGACAGCCCACUCGCGUGUGACGCGGAGGAGGUGUGCUACGAUGUCUUCUAUGACAUUCGGACCAGCACGUUCCUAGUGCAGGGCGCAACGCGGCUUAGCGUGUGGGAUGGCGUACACGGGUACCGUCGCGGUGUGCUGAGUCAGGUGACGGAGUCCGGCAUAUCGCAAGUCGGCGCCGAUAUCAAAGCGGUGUGCAUUGACGAGCUUGGCAGCCGCGUGUUUAUAUCACUGAGCGACGGGAGAGUUGUGUGGCACACGACGCAGAAGCUCGCGUCGGAUGCCUCACAAUGCACACCCGCCACGGCAGCAGUCUGGUGGCAGGCCAAGUCUUCUGGCUCUGGCGCCGAGGCGAGUGGGCCUCCGUUCGUGGAGCAGAUGCACUACUCCUCGAUCUCGCGCACCUGGAUCGCCAUCACCUCCAAUGGGACACUGCUGGUGCGAUCGGAGGAGGACAAUCAGGAGGUCGGCUUUUCGGCCACCAUUUCCGUUUCUGCGUCGCCCUUGAUCCAACUGCGCGUGUCGGAGGAGCUGGGGCUUGCCGCCGUGACGGAUACGCAGCGCACUGUGUACAUAUACGACAUGCAGGCGUGGAUGGACGCGCCAGUUACGAAGAGGCUUGCCGUGUACGGCGGUCUUGUGGAUCUGAUUUUCCUCGACAGUGCACCAGCGUUGGUGACGGUGCACGCCGGUGGCGUUUGCCGAUGCUGGUCAUGCGCGCCAGCGGUGGAGCGGUUCAAGCUGCUGAGCGCAUUUUGCCAUCCACAGCAUCCCACCCCGAAACUCGCUACAGCCGCCACCGUGGAGACAGAGCGGGCGUGGAUGCAGGUGAUCGGGCGGACGCACCUUGCCAGCGCGGGGACGACGCGAGGACGGCCGCACAUGCAGUCACCAGCCACGUCACCAUGCUAUCACACAAUUGCGGCCCUACCCACUGGCAUUCACAACACCUUGCAGAUAGCUGGCACGAGCGCAUCGCCGCUUGGGGUCGUGCUGCCUAAGCUCGCCUGCUUCUCUCGCCCUGGCUCUGCAUGCGUUGCAUCAGGACCGGCCACGCCGGCGCUGUGCGCAUCGCAGCGCGGCUCGUUAAAUCCGCUGCGACUGGGGUCGGUCCUUGAGCGAACCUCAGCCGAUCAGACUGAGGUUUCGGGUGAGGGCGCAUCGUCCCUCAUGAAGCUCCCCAUGUUUACGGGAAGGCCGGCCACCGAGGCACUGCGAGACACUAGAGCUGGCGAUGGCUGGACUGCGACCGCGACGACCCCGACCGCAUCCGUCGAGUUCACCUCCGCGGCUUACGACGGGCGGCAACAUCACUUGUUCCUUGGCGACUCUGAGGGUGUCGUGCACACCUAUAGCAUGUGCCCUCUUCUCCAAGCGUACACGUUGCCUCGUUGCUCCCAUGCGAGCCGGCCAGCGUUCUCGCUGACAGGCGCGACGGAAUUCACUGGAGCGGAUGCCGACGACGGUUUUGCAGUCCCGAAACUGGUGCGGUCGGUGCAAGUGCACUUGCACCAUAGUACCGCAACAGAGCCAGAUGCAGAGGCCCGCGCAGGUUGCACGUAUCGCGACAAUAUGUCGACAGCGACCCGGCGCGAUAAUGAUCGGUGCGGUGUGGUCUGCGUGCGGUGGCUGGACGAUCGUGGUGUGCUCGCUACCUCUGGCUACGACCAGGAGGUGUGGUUCCUCGACUGUAAUACAGGAGAAAAGGUUGCCUGCUUGUCGACAGAGCGGCGACUUUCUGGAGCCGAUCGCGCCCACCAGCCCCUGACGGCUUCGAGUCAGCAACACAGGGAGCUGAUGCAAGAGUCGACGGUCCUGAGUGGGGUGCGCAACGGGCACAGGGCCGAGGGUGCCAGCACGCUGCCCUCUCAAAGUAUCUUUAGUCUGCCACAGCCGCCGCGCCACGAUGAUUGGAACGACGACAGCACCGCUGCCUUCCUCACAGGCGCAUCGCAGCUGCGCUGCUGCACGCACAGCAGUAGAAACGAGGACGCGCCCGCGACAGAGGAGGGCGGAGGGACCCUGUCGCCGGCGCCAUGGGGGCAAGAGGAGGGUGGCGCGUUGGCUACCUUGCCGAAUGCACGAUGCACACCGGUGAACUCCCACGGGCCGGCGUCUUCUGUAGGCCAGAGAUACUCGUCUUCCAGCACCCUCUCUCGCUACUCGAUCCCGGCGUUGAUCGCGACGGCUAAGCACGACCGCGCACCGACGGGGCCGAAGGACGGCAUACAGGGGCCGAUGGACCAGCGCGGCAGCCCUCUCGUGCGCCCCUCAUCGUGCUCACCGACAAAGGAACAAGCGCUUUCCAACGACGCGCCUCGUAGUUGGAGACCCCUCUCACAUUACAACACGUCAUUGCUCGCCAGCAGCCCGCUCGAGAGGGGCGACAGCCCACGAGACGCUGCGUCUGCGGCGAUGAGCGCGUCGCGCACUUCCGACUGCGACGGUGGCAUGCAGAUUCACAUCGCAGACUGGCAGAAGCGCGACCUGAUGGCGAUGCGCGAGUCGCGGGGCGUGAAGCCGCACGCGCCGGUGCAGCCGGGCUUGCACAACACGCUGGUGCACGUGGAGGAGAGCAAGUGGCACACUGCGGAAGCGACGGGGCAGCCCGUUCUUUUGGGUGCAGCCGAUGGUGUCUCCAGGCAUGUGGCGCGAACUGCCACAGCAGCAGCGGCAGCCCCGGCAGUCACAGGCGCUGCGUCCCCACAAACCGAAGCGGCAUCUGCGUCGAGCGCCCUGAGCCUGACAACGAAUAUGGCGACGUCGAACAGCCUCCGAAUCGAAGCGGCAGCGAGGGCGGCAGAGACAAGCGGCAGCAUCGGCUCCUUCGGCGUCAAGGGAGUCCCGGCGCUGAUAGAGUCCUGCGGGGCUCUGAACAGGGCUUCGUGCAACAGUACCAGCAUCGCCGAAGCGCUAGCGCUGUGCGUCUCCGGAUGUGCGCUGACCACCUCCGCUGUUGACGCGGACAGAAACGCAGCGGCACAGCAGCAGCAGAAGCAGCCGCACCUACCACAAGGAGCACACGGGGGGAGAAUCAGACCCGAUUCAGAGAGCAGCUCCGCUGUGCCGCGCCACGGGAGCCCUUCACGAGUGCCGUUCGCGCAGCCAUCGGCACCCGGACACCGCACAUCUACUGACGCGCUGCCACCUCCCAAGAAGGCCCUACGGAAAGAUGGCAGUGGAGGGAUGACUUCUUCCUCGACGGCGUUGGGCGUCACGGCGUGUUCCCUUUCCCAGGACAUCGCAGCGCGGGCCCAAUCGUUCACUUCUGCGAAUGCUCUGUGCCUACCGCCUAUGCUGGCCUACAGCAACGAGUGUGAGGGGAGAUUAACGUUGGAGAUGUACUCUAGUGAACUCCGUCGGUGCCUCCGGCGACCGCGUCGAUGGCACGAUACGUAAACAGUGUGUGCGUGUGUGUGUGUGUGCGGAGGGAUCCAGCUGCAACUUAUAGGUGCGCUGCUGAUUGCAUUCGCCGCUGCGCACCUUUCACCUCGUCUUCCCCUCCCCCUUUCUCAUUGUCGUGGCUCCCUUUUCGUUUCUUUUCCUUGUUGCAGCUCCGCUGUCUUUCGCUUUGUUUAUGUUUUUUUUUUUUUUGCAUCCGGAGCGCGCUGUCCCACCCCCUCCCCCUUUUUUCCUCUCUCGCGCUCCAAAACUCAGAAUUGACAGUGAGCGACGCAAGUAUAUGUUCACAUAUAUGUAUAUAUGCGUAUAUGCUGAUGAUCAUGUAUACCAGCCACCGCAUCAGCACCAGUGUUCUGUGUAUAUCUGGCAGACGCGUAAUUCUACUUCUCGUUUUUGUCGUCCUCCUUGCACCCCUUGUACAUCAUGUAUAGUCCCAUCCCCACCCACCCCUCCCUCCUGCGCCUACUUUCGCCUUCUUCAUUUGGCCUCUGCCUCAUUUCGGCGUGUGUUUCCCAUGUAGCCCUUUUUUUUUUACCUUGUCCGACCCUCCUCUUCCUCCUUGACUUCCCCGAUGCACAUGACUUAAUCCAAUGCUAGUGUCUCUUGCAUUUGAUGUUUGUCUUUCAUGGUGCGAGGCACUGCUCAGUAAAUGAGGGGCAGUGGAUGGGGAAUACGAAUGGUAUAGGCCCGAUGCAUUACAGCAACAU
rnacentral:misc_RNA from 1 species